CAUGCAAAAUGCGUAAUUUGUAAGUUGUAUAAAAUGUGCUGACUUCUAAAAAGCAAUUUAUUAAAAGAAAAUAAAAAGAUCAUGCUAUUAUAUCUUUGUUUGCCUUUGGCCACGAUUUCUCUACUCAUUCACUGUGAUUGGUCCUUCCCUGUUGCGAAGCUAUUUGUAGUGUCUGCUGGGAUCGUAUCUCUUGGCAAAUGGACGAACAAAACACUAUUGCCACUUAGCAGGCAUCCAUUCAGAUCAAAGGAAAUUGUUUAUAAAACAAUGAGUGCUUACACUGGUGCCAAACCUGACCAGAGUGGUAUUACUUGCGGUUACAAUAUGGAAAGUUACACUGCUGAACAAGUCGCUGAUCACAUUGUGGGUCUGGAAAGCAGUACCUCGGAGGAGGAUAGCAUAGAGCUUAGUAAUACGACCCAUGAAGUGUCUGAAGAGGUCUGCUUCCAAGAAGAGAUGUUUGUGCCCUAAAACAGCAACAUAACCUAGGCAAACAGAGCACCAGAUGGAGGAGGAGGCAGACUGCUAGCACAGUACAUCCUUAACACAUCUCCAGGACCAACACGGCUGUAUGUCUCACAGGCAAGUGACAUUGUCUUUUCCUUCAAGGGAUUUAGGACUGCUAUUACGAGUGGAAAGGAUUAUUGUCACCAUGACAACCUGGAGGGGAGAAAUCAAUUCUCCAACAGCUGGGUGGAACUAACAUUUCAGAAUUCAAUGCCUUUCUCGGUGUCUGCAUUCUGGCGGGGGUUGUCAAGUCAAGAGGAGUGUCGCAAGUCUGUGGGACCCAAAGACUGGGAGACCAAUAUUCCCAACGACAAAGAACAGAGUGCGGUUCGGGCAGCUGACAUUGGCACUCCGAUUUAAUGAUAAAAGAUCAUGACGAGCGAGAAGAACAACAGACAGGCUAGCACCCAUUCGAGAAGUCUGGGACAUGUGGUUGUCAAACCUGCCUUUCAUGUAUAAUCUCGGCCAUAUGACCAUAGACGAGUGACUGGUACCAUUCAGAGACAGACGGUGAGUUGAGAUGGGGAUGAUGGGGAUGAUGAGAGUGGCGUUGCAGCUGUGGCAUUUACAUAAAGCUGUGUAUCGUCGGCGUAGCAGUGAAAGGAAAAUCCAUGGCGGCUGAUGACCUGACCGAGCGGGGAAAGGUAAAGAAUGAAGAGCAUGGGGCCAAGAACUGACCCCUGGGGAACGCCACAGGAGACUGUGUGAGGUGGAGUCACCCAUAGCAAGGUACUCUAUCCGGUUUGCGAGGUAUGAUUGAAUCCAGCUGAGGGCAAUGUCAGUGAGAGUAAUAUACGUUAUUGCUGCACUACAGUUGUAUACAUUGUUACACGUUUAUAGUUCAAAUAUAAAUCUCAUGUUCAUUAGCAAUGAAUCAUAAUGGAUCAUUUAUUUCAACCAGUUACCUUGUUCAUCAUUUGUACCCGAGUAGUUACUAAAUUACUUAGGAAUUACAUUGUAACUUGUUACUAAUAAAAUGUAUAAUUUGUAUCCUAGCACCAAUCGAGAGAUAUAUCUAUUGAAACGCAGUAAGGUAGGACAAAUAGACAUUUUUUGUGAGCUAUUUUGUGAUGUAUAUGUACAGCUGUCUGUAAAUAAAAGUGCCCGUGUGAUAUUGAGGACAUUUGACUCUGACUUGGAACUGCCUGUUUGUUAUUACUUUAUGGGAAAACAAUAUUGAGAUAUAUCGUAUAUUGCGGUUGAGUUAAAAAUACUGAGAUAUGAUUUUUCGGUCCAUAUCGCCCAGCCCUACAUAAUACCCAGGAGAACACAGAGCAAGUCAUAGUUAGUGAGGACCCCACAUUAAGACGGUCCCUCAGAACCCCAAAACCCCCAAAGAAAUUCCACUAUCUACAAUAAGGUCAUUUUUUCGCGCCGUUUGAUUAAAAAAAAGAAAGAAAGAAGAGAUGGCGAGCCACCAGGAGACCCUUGCGCGAGCAGACGUGAGGGAGAGCAAGUAGUUACGGAGAUUCUAACCUGUCGCUGCCAAAAUCUGGUUGGGGUGUUAGCAUCGUUUGCCAUUUGCUUGGACCUUGAACUUGAACAAUUGAACUUGGAAUUCUCUUUCUAUAUAUAUACGGACUGGGCCUAGUUGUUCGUAUGGACUAAGACUGAAAACAAAAUUAGUUUUGCUUGCUGCUGUUUUACUUCACGGACGGUAUAUUUUUUGACAAAAAUGAUUUAUAUAUGAAUGUAUUUUCUUUUAUAAUUAAUCUGAAUUGUUACCCAGGGUGCACCCAGAUUGGCAACUUUCAUAUUUGCUUGUGAAUUAUUAUUUUUUAAUGGUGUAUAUUGUAUAGUGACCUGGAUCAGUUUCCUUUCAUUUCAUAUUCAUUCUGCUUGUUCUUUUGACAAUCCACUAAACAUCUGAUAUAAAUAAUAUUGCAGUACAUUUUGUUCUAUAAAUAUAACCCAAAUGCGUUGAUAUUGAUUAAGCCGUUCAUACCGCCCUAUUGAACCUAGGUAUAACCAUUAGGGUAAUUUAUUGACAAUCGGUACAGCUGUAGAGCGUCCUGUUGGAAAAAAAAAAUGACAGAGAUUGUAAAGAGCAAUGGACUCAGAUGCCCUGCUGGUAUUCUCCUACUUUAUAUUUUAUAGGAAAAGACUCAGUGUUCUUAUACUAGCAAAGGGAGUUUGUACAAAGUAUUAAGAGCAGGGGUGCCAAUAAUCGUGGCACAUGUGUUUUUGUUGAAAAUAAUUAUUUCUUGAUGAAGGAUUUGUUUUUCUUUCAAUAAAUUUAUAUUAAGGCAA